UAUAUCACUGUAUAUAUGUAGCAUUACUGGCUGCGCAUGCUCCUGCCUAUUUCUACUUUCCCCUAUUUCGACCGAGAAUGUCGGUGAGAGAGAACGAGCACGUUUUUCAGCCGAAAAUUCCGAGUCAGGAACACUAACACACACAACUCGACAACAAAUAAAAAUUCGAUUUUCACAAACGAUCCCACGACAUAUUUAUUAUUAAAUAUUGUUCGUUUUGCAUUCAAUUGAUUCUCACUACAACAAUGGUUCAUCAUUAUUAUCAAUUUGUAGAAACCAUAAAGGUGAUAGUCCAAUUGUAUCAGUAAAAAAGAUGAAUAGCUGUUCGCUAUUUUUAGGCAUUGGUAAUCUUUUGGUUUGGUUUCCAUUAUUACGUUAUUUUGCCUAUUUUCAAUCAUACAACAUUCUCUUAUUGUAACAUUGAAGAAAUCUUUUCUAAACGUUUUGCGGUUCUGUCUCUGUGCAUUUUUAGUUUAUUGAGGAUUUUGUUUUUGUGGUUCGGUCGUUUUGGGUCCUCAUCAUCUCAAAUUUCGUACGCUAAGCUAACAUUCUAAUGUUUGUUUUCAAUUAUGAACGGUGAUGAUAUGUUUGCUACAUUUUUUUCCACUGAUGUGAAAAAAUCAAGUCUUAUAUGGUGGUUUAGUCGCAUUUAUCUUUUCAUUUCAUUGUCCAUAAUACUCGAUGCAUACGAAUCGGUUCGUAUAAAGAAAUCAAUGACUUAUCACAGUCAAAUUCAACUCUAAAAAAAUUUAUAGAAGAAUAUCCAAUGGAGAAUUUUGAUUCUGGAUUCCAUAAUAACUCAUUUGUUGACCAAAUUCAAAACUAUUUUCGAAUCUGUUUUCGCUCAUCGUCGAAUGCUUCUUGACAUAUAAGAAUUUAAAUUUUACGACUAAAAUAGUUAUGAUUUUAUAACUCAACUUUUAAUUAAUAUAUUUAAAUGAAUAAAAUAUAAAAUAGUGAUUUAAUUUACGAAAAA